GACGAACGCUGGCGGCGUGCUUAACACAUGCAAGUCGAACGAUGAAGCGGGUGCUUGCCCUCGUGGAUUAGUGGCGAACGGGCGAGUAACACGUGAGUAACCUGUCCUUUUCUUUGGGAUAACGGCUGGAAACGGCUGCUAAUACUGGAUAUUCAGGCUGCAUCGCAUGGUGUGGUUUGGAAAGGUUUUUUCUGGGAUUGGGUGGGCUCGCGGCCUAUCAGCUUGUUGGUGGGGUGAUGGCUUACCAAGGCUUUGACGGGUAGCCGGCCUGAGAGGGUGGGCGGUCGCACUGGGACGGAGAUACGGCCCAGAGUCCUACGGGAGGCAGCAGUGGGGAAUAUUGCACAAUGGACGACAGUGUGAUGCCGCGACGCCGCGUGGAGGGUGUAGGCCUUCGGGUUGUGAACUCCUUUGUCUCGCGAAAAAGGCACAGUUUUGGCUGUGUUGAUGGUAGUGGGGGAAGAAGCGCCGGCUAACUACGUG
rnacentral:rRNA from 1 species